GGAGAGAUGGCUCAGUGGUUAAGAGCACUGACUGCUCUUCCAGAGGUCCUGAGUUCAAAUCCCAGUAUCCACA
rnacentral:tRNA from 1 species